rnacentral:rRNA from 1 species
GGGUGAGUAACACGUGGAUAACCUACCUAUAAGACUGGGAUAACUUCGGGAAACCGGAGCUAAUACCGGAUAAUAUUUUGAACAGCAUGGUUCAAAAGUGAAAGACGGUCUUGCUGUCACUUAUAGAUGGAUCCGCGCUGCAUUAGCUAGUUGGUAAGGUAACGGCUUACCAAGGCAACGAUGCAUAGCCGACCUGAGAGGGUGAUCGGCCACACUGGAACUGAGACACGGUCCAG